rnacentral:RNase_P_RNA from 1 species
UGAUGGCAGAUGAUCGCUGGUGACUCCGAAAGCUUUCGGGGUCGCUGGAGGAAAGUCCGAACACCAUACGGCGGCAUGCCGCGUAAAACACGCGGGCGCCGCGGUUGAAAAACUGCGGUGACGGAGAGUGUCACAGAAAAGAUACCGCCGGUUCUUUGGCAACAAAUUACAGGUAAGGGUGAAAAGGCGAGGUAAAAGCUCACCGCUCGCGAAGCAAUUCGCGAGGCACGAAAAACCCCAUGCGGUGCAAGACAAAACAGAGGAAGGGCAGCCGGCUCGAUUUAUCCUCGGGUAUCGUCGCAUCACGGCGAACGAAAAUUCGCCGGGCUCUUGGAGAAAUCCAAGAGAGAUAAAUGAUCAUCCUGGCUGAGAAAUCGGCCGGACAGAAUUCGGCUUAUCGCCAUCGAAAAUAU